rnacentral:rRNA from 1 species
AGCGGCCUACGGGGCGCAGCAGUGAGGAAUAUUGGUCAAUGGGAGAGAUCCUGAACCAGCCAAGCCGCGUGAGGGAAGACGGCCCUAUGGUUUGUAAACCUCUUUUGUCGGAGAAAAAAACCCGGGACGUGUCCCGGACUGCGUGUAUCCGAAGAAAAAGCAUCGGCUAACUCCGUGCCAGCAGCCGCGGUAAUACGGAGGAUGCGAGCCUUAUCCGGAUUUAUUGGGUUUAAAGGGUGCGUAGGCGGUCCGUUAAGUCAGCGG